rnacentral:rRNA from 1 species
GGGAUUGCCCUAGUAACGGCGAGUGAAGCGGCAACAGCUCAAAUUUGAAAUCUGGCCCUCGGGUCCGAAUUGUAAUUUGCAGAGGAUGCUUUUGGUGCGGUGCCUUCCGAGUUCCCUGGAACGGGACGCCAGAGAGGGUGAGAGCCCCGUACGGUUGGACACCUACCCUAUAUAUAGCUCCUUCGACGAGUCGAGUAGUUUGGGAAUGCUGCUCUAAAUGGGAGGUAAAUUUCUUCUAAAGCUAAAUACCGGCCAGAGACCGAUAGCGCACAAGUAGAGUGAUCGAAAGAUGAAAAGCACUUUGAAAAGAGGGUUAAAUAGCACGUGAAAUUGUUGAAAGGGAAGCGUUUGUGACCAGACUUUUUCCUAGUGGAUCAUCCGGUGUUCUCACCGGUGCACUUCACUGGGUUUAGGCCAGCAUCGGUUUCCGGAGGGGGACAAAAGCCUGGGGAAUGUGGCUCCUUCGGGAGUGUUAUAGCCCCUAGCAUAAUACCUCUCCUGGGGACCGAGGACCGCGCUUCGGCAAGGAUGCUGGCGUAAUGGUUAUCAACGACCCGUCUUGAAACACGGACCAAGGAGUCGAACAUUUGUGCGAGUGUUUGGGUAUCAAACCCUCACGCGUAAUGAAAGUGAACGGAGGUGAGAGCCCUUCGGGGUGCAUCAUCGACCGAUCCUGAUGUCUUCGGAUGGAUUUGAGUAAGAGCAUAACUGUUCGGACCCGAAAGAUGGUGAACUAUGCGUGGAUAGGGUGAAGCCAGAGGAAACUCUGGUGGAGGCUCGCAGCGGUUCUGACGUGCAAAUCGAUCGUCAAAUCUGCGCAUGGGGGCGAAAGACUAUCGAACAUCAGACUGUCGGCCCC